rnacentral:lncRNA from 1 species
UUAGUUAAAGGAUGCAAAGUUUCAGUGAUACAAUAUAAAUAAAUGCUAGAGACCAACUUACAGCAUAAUACCUAUAAUUAAUGCUACUAUAUUGCAUUCUUAAAAAGUUGCUUAGAAAGUAGAUCUUAUGUUAAAUGUUCUUAUCACACACACAAAAUAAACAAGAGGGCGGGAUGAAACUUUUGGAGGUGAUGAAUAGGUUUAUGGCAUAGACUGUAUACUUAUCUCCAAACUCAUCAAGUGGCACACAUUAAUUAUGUACGGCUUUUUGUAUGUAAAUAAAUACAUAAAUAAAUGGCACCGUCAGAUAGGUUUUUGGUGAAGCCUCUCUUCCUAGCUUGUAGGUGGCCACCUUCUCCCUGAGUCCUCACACGGCCUCUUCUCUGUGUGCACAUGAAGAGAGAUCUCUGAUCUCUCCUCCUCUUCUAAUAAGGACACUAGUCCUAUUGGAUUAGUUCCUCACCUUUAUGACUUCAUGCAACUUUAAUUACCUUCCGAAAGACCCUAUCUCCAAAUACAGUCACAAUGGGGAUUAGGGCUUCAAUGUAAUGAAUUUUGGGGAGAAACAAUUCAGUCCAUAACAAAGGGUGAGAAGAAAAGUACUUUCAUUUUAGUUGCUUGAACUAUAAUGGAUUUGUGCGAUCCUACAGAGGAACAAUCUGAGAUUUUGACGUACAUUAUUUGGCCAAGGUAUUGCUUGACUUGUAGUAUAUUUCAGUGCAUGUUAUGGCACAAAUUAUGCAUUUUAAUGGGAUAUUUUAUUGAGCUCCUCUUGUUGAUUUGCACAAUGGGCACAAACAGGCUGAUAAUUUAAAUAGGGAUUAGUCUUUUUUUUAACAUAAUGGGUUGGCUAUGUAACAUGAAAUGUGAAUCAUAUGUAGCUCUUCUUUUCAGGAGUUUUCCAAAUUCCCAUAAGUUUUAUGCUUAUGCUAGCAUUGUACCAUGACAUUCACAAAUUUACCAUGAGAUAAGUUUAAUUCCAUGAUGUCCAAGUAGAAAGCAUUAAAAAAAGAUGAAAAAUAAAUUGUGAAAAAAUAUUUUUCUUUUUCUUCCUUCUCAUCAUGUCUUUCUUUUUCUCUGUCUACUCUCUCCUCACCUGUUUUCUUUAGGAGAGAAUCAUGAGUGAGAGAUGAUCCCCUUAAUUCAUUUUAUUGCCUAUUUCCAUAGCAUGACUAUUUGGGAGGUACUUAAGGGUGGUUUCUAGGCAGUGACAGAAAUGGAAAUUAUUUAUCCUAGGAACCCUGCGUGUAUUCUUGUUAAUUCAUUUGCACACUGUUAAAUAAAUAACAUAUAGGUGGGACCAGCAGAUUUGGAAAUUCCUCACCAUCCACACUCCAUUUUUAUACUCUAUUUUUAGGGUGAAAAUUGUUUUUGUUUACCUAAGUUACAAAGCUUCUUUUUUGUUAUGCAAAUAGAAAAUUAGUUGGGCAGAAUCAUGAAUGAAUUAAGUUAUUUCCUUGCUUUGUAUCUUUUCAGGAAUCUGAGGCCUACAUGGGUGACAAUUUUCAAUGGCUGAAUAAUUUAAUAAAAAGUGAAAAACAUUACAUAAAUAUGCCUAUGAUUAUAUGUGCACAGGAUAAAAUCCAAUAUUUAGGAUAAGCCAAAUUGAUAUAAAGUUAGAGAGGAGAUUGCCUAAACAUUGAGAGGCUGGUAGUGCAAUUGAUUGUAGAUUGGAGUUUUUGAAAACCUUCACACGGACUCUGAUAAGUGAUUACUCUACUGUAAAUAUGACAAUGUGGGACAAACACAAAAGCAUAAGGACAUGUUGAUUGUCAAAUCGAACUUAAGAACCCAUAUAAAUAUUAUGGAGUAUAAGGAAAUUGUUAUAUGCAGGUUCAAGUGGAAUAUAUAUAAAUUUGGUUUUGAGAGUGAUUUGGCUGGGAUGGGGUAGGGGUGUUGUUUACUAGGUUUGAAAUUUUUUAGGAACUUGAAGAAAGUAAAAGUUCAUGUCCUACGAGAGCUAAUCCUUUUAUCCAUCUGAAUAAAUGAGCAUUUUUUUAACUGGGCAAUACUGUAUAUUCCAGUUGCAGACUAAAUGAUUGCUUCAUUUGAAGCCUCCUGACUGCCAUGGAACCAUCUGCUAUGUGCUCCUGUGAAGGAAUAGGUGAGACUCCAGCUAACACUAAAGUCUUCAGCUAGUCUAAGUUGUUUCUUAUGUACCACUUCAUAUCACACCUGGGUACAGAGGCGGAAUUAACACUAAAGUCCGAAUCUCUUCCACCCAUCUUUAAGCCUGUUUUUUUCUGUCUUUUGACUUACAUAAAGGUGUUCAUUUUUAGGGAAAUUGGUGGAAUGGAAAAAAAAAGCAGUUAUAGCUGAGGAAAUCUAAACUCUAAAGUGGAAAAAAUUUUAUUUCAUUCACACUUAGAGGUUUUCCCCUACUUACUGCUUUGAAUCAAGGGGAAAAAGGUUUGUAUAUGUUUUUCCCCUGUGAGUUCUUUUGAGCAAUGUUCGUAUGUUAUGUGAAAUGAUUAUGCUAAAUGUCUGUGAGAACUGGCGUCUUGGUGUGGAUAUAUAGUGAGUUUAUGGGACCCAAAAGAGUAUAACAGUAGGAGGAUGGGAAAGGCAAGGGAUUUUUAAAAAAUGAAGAGCUAGUGUGAGAUAGGCAAGUAGGGGUUUAAAUGAGAAAUUAGGUGAUUUGAACAGAUUGUGUAUAUAUUUUCCUCUCUGAGACCCCUAAGAUCUCUUCUCAUACACUGCAUGGGGAAAAAUAAUCUUUGCUUUUUUUUUUUUUUUUUAGCUUCUUAACUAUGCACUUUCAUCAUUGCUGUACAUUCUUCUAAGCUUGGCUCAAAGAAGAAGGGGUAAUAUAAUACAGGAGCUCAACAUGGUGGCUGCAAACUUGUUUUGGAUCUAGCUCUGGCCAGGAAAGACACAAAGUAGAUCAUUAUUAAUGCAUGCUAUUACUGCUAAACUGUGCAUAUUAGUAUUGUUAAAAAGAUUCGUAUAAUGCCUAGCACAUCAUCUUUCCUCUUUUCAUAAAUCAUGCUAAAAACAGAAACAGCAUCUUUUAGAACUGAAGACUGUCCGGACAUGUGCCUGUGGUACAAAAUGCAGACUAGUGUCGUCCAGAGGCUUCCUCUGUCUGGUUGGUCUUUACUUGAGUGCUGGUAGUGUCUGAUUCAAUUAGUAAUCAGAGAAAUGGUCAUUGCUAUUUUGUGACUUUGAGAGCCUUGAUUGUGAAUUAUAUUUACAGAUUGAAAUUCUCUCUCCAAAAUAGGGCCCUUAGUAUUCAAGGACCUGCGAAGUCUUGCAAUCUGUGAUAAAAUCGAGUUUUCUCCAUAUAAUACAUCAGACAUCAUUGUAUUUGUCAAGAGUUUGGUCAAUAGAGCCAGGAAAAGUCCAUGUGUAUGAGUAAUGAAUUUAGCCACAUUUUGUUUGUGAGAAUAAUUUUGUUAGACACCCUCCCCCUGCCCUAUCCCAACUGAGAUACCUAAUAGCUAACAUAUAUAAUUUCAAAAUGGAAAUAUCUCAGAUUUUGGAGUCUGAAACUACCAGUCCAUAAACACUGAGGCUUUAUUACUGAUGGCAUUGUGUUAUAUCUGAUGGGGCACCCAAAAAGAUAAGGCAUGGUCUUAGGCCUGAAGGAAUCCAUAGUCUUCAGGAAGUCAGGCUCUAUAUGGAUUUAAAACAUAACAUUUUAUAAAACAUUUUGGGAUAAAGUGCCAAGCCUAUGCUAUUUAAUAAGUAGCUUUGAUAUAAAGUCGUUAUGUGUUGACUACAGAGUUUAGAAUGAACUUAAGCAGACCUAAGUGUUUUUUCCAGAAGGUCUGAGAACCACUCUGUCUAUGAAUUGGUAUAUGGAUCAUUCUGUUUAUAAACCAGACAACUACGAAAGGUCAUUAAACACAAAUGGAUGGAAACUGUAUUGAAAAUUUAAAAGUUAUUAAAGGUACUAUGAAAAGGGUGGAUAUUUGAGGCUUCUGCUUGAGGACCAAGCAACCAAUAUUUACGUAUUUCUACACUCAUGCAUCAUUGUCAUGUGGUUUCAUUGGAUGAUUCAUGAGCAGAUCAGAAGUUGGAGAAAAGUUGAGAGUUUAACCCUUUGUUACACUCUGAUUUUGCUUUACCCUGUAGGAGAAAUUUUCCCAUAAGAAAACCAGUUUAGACAGGUUUUGCCUAUUGCUCUGCCCCCGAAAGUAUAGUAUAUAAUUCCCAUGCAAAAAAAUGCAUCUAAGAGAGAAACACCAGCUUGCUGACACCCUCAUAAUGGAGUAUGGCCAAGGCAAUUGUUGAUCUCUUACAGCUUUUUGAAGAGUUAGCUCAGCAGUUAAGCUCUGAAUAGGUCCACCCUUCUGUUAUUUAGCCAGCAAUCUGCUUCCUUCCAAUGAAUGGAAUAAAAGCCGAGAGGCAGAAUUUCAUCUCUGUUCAAAUUAGAAACCUGUCUCCUGUAAGCUGGGUCCCUUCCUUCUCCAUUAAAAUCUUCUACUACCAAGGAGAAAAAAAAGAUCUCAGAUAUGUAGCAUAACAAUCAUUCAAUCAACUAUAAACUUCACUUGGUGAUUUUUUUCUUUAAUUGAAUAGUAGGAAAGCCUAAAUGUGAAUGCUAUAUGCAAACCCAUUAUUCUUAGUACUGCUACCUAUAAUUAACACUGCCCAAUGGAAUUUUAAAAAUAUUUAUAAAAAAGGCAACAGAGUGACAAUUACCAUUAUCCCCAACUAAACUCCUCCUCCUCCAUGUUUUCAUCAAGAGAGCGGUGUUGUUACUUCAGUAGGCACAGUGUUGUGGUGACUUUUGUGAUACAAAUAAAGCAAGACUAAAAUUCUAAUUGUGAAAUUUAAAAGGAAAGUAAUUGCUUAGUGUUGGUUAAUUCCAUCUUUGUGUGAUGACAGCAGCUGCGUUUCCCUGCCUUGUGUAUUUUAACAGAUGGCAUUAUUUCUUAUGGAGUGUUACAGUGGCGACCGAGGUGACACUGAAGGAAAAUUCUGUGACAGUAUGUUAAGUAAGAUAUUACUGACAGCCCUGCUGAGCGGCGAUGCCGAACUGCACGUCGUGGAUCUCUUCUCACCCCUAUAGCCCCCACCAAAUGGUUUCCAUUUGCGGCAUGUGGAACCAGAGUGGAAAGAUGAAUGGAAAAUUAUGUUCUUUUUCAAAUUCACUUGUUUGCAUACCAUUAGUAGGCCUGAGAUGAAGGCUCAAAUUUGGCAAAAAGGUGCAUUUAUCAACCCAGUAUCAUACUGCUGUACCUUUCCAUAUGGUAGGUAAGAAAAUCAAGAGGUGCUGAUAGGCUUGAGCUCUAGACCAGAAUUUGCCACAAGUCACUUUUCUAUGGAUUGGAUUUCUUUGUAGAAAAGGCUGGAGCUGGACUAUAACAAAGUUUCUAGAGCCCUUUCUAGCUCUAACUUUCUAUGAUUCCGAAAGCCCUGAGCUUUGUGCUUUAAUAGCCCAGAAGACAAAGUGAGUAGAAUGCAGAAUAGAAACUUCUCUGUGUGCUACACAUAUUGAUGCAGCCUAGUAGGGAAAAGAUCAGUGGGUCACAAGUCAGGAGAUCUGGCCAUGGUUCAGCCUUGAAGCAAGUCAUUGACUCAAUCCAUGUCAGCUUCCUCACCUCCUUCACAAGGUUGUAUCCAAGCUCUAAUGGAAUUAUGCUACUGAAAGAUGAUUAAUUGCUCCAACAAAUAUUGCACAACUGCCCUAUGCUAGACACUAUGCCAAGUGCUGGGGAUUCAAUGGUGGGUAAAGCGUAGUCUUUGUUUUGGAGGAGGACAUCUAGUAGGGAAGAUAGAUAAGUGAAUGGGUAACUAUAGAGAAGUGUACCAGGGGCUUUGAUGGGCACAGGUACAGGGUGUGAUAAAAGUAUAGGGUGAUAUAAAAAGACAGGGUGAUAUAAAAGCAUAGAGGAGGAGCAGCUCACCCAGCUGGGCGCAUGGAAGGCUCCAGGAAGAAGUGGAUUCUAAGCUAGGGCAAAUAUAGGUGGAAGGGGGAGGGACAAAUGACAUGACCAGCAGCUUCUUGAACCAAGAUUUAGAAAUUGUUAUGGUUUCGUUUUCCUUCACCACCAAUCUGUGAAGAAGGAGACCAUCAGCAUCUUGGGUCUUGAUGAACAAGGAGUGCUCUUAUUUAAAUAUUCUUAUAAUAGUUAUAUCAUACUUCAUUUCUAAAACAAAUGGGUUUAAAAGCCUGAGAAAUGAUAUUUAAGAGAAUACCACCAUUGACUGUCACACUCUAAAGGUGAGCUUGAAAAAUUCUCUCUAGACCUUUCUAUUCACAAAUGCUUCUGUGAGGCCGCAAGAGUUUUAUGGUGUGCUUUGCAGAGAGGUACGGAUGGAUCACCUUUGGUAAAAGGAGAAAUGAUAGUGGCUUUAUACAUAAUAUGAACUUUUGGUUUUCUUUUUAUAAUCCUCUCUAAGACAAGGGCUACCAGCUUGCUGCUCAGUGAAUAAUAAAUCUGACUCAUCUGCUCUUCCUACAGGCUGACCCUCCUCUGCGCUAAUGUUUGACAUUUUUCAGUUUAAUUAAAAUCACCCUUUAAGUAGCACACCACCAAGAGAACGAUGGAAUUUCUUCCUGUAAUGUGAUGCUGAGUAAAGGACAACUCACCAAGUCCGCCAUUGUCUGUGCCACUUUCCACGGAGGAACCUGGGCAUCAGCUGGCGCCAAGACCUCAGAAUGGAAGAAAUUUGAUUUGUUCCUAAUUCAGAAAACUGUGGUGUUAUAUCUGUCCUGAAGAAGUGGAGAGAGAAGAAAGAGGAGGAAAUUGAACCAACAGUAAGAAAGAUGAAAAGGAAAGAGGAAAAUAGAAAUGGAGAUGAAUUUGAAGGAACAGCGAAAUUCCAUAGUGAUUGGAGAAAAGUCAAAAUGACACGGUGAUAUGAAGAUAGAAGAAAAACACAGUCUAAAUAAAAACCGGUAAUUCUGAAGCCAUUGUCCAUUUAUCCCAGCUUUAGAUACCUUGACUAGCUCACAAGUCUCUCCUUCUUCAUGAUUCUAUUAAUGCCUCAAGUUUCCUCCAGCCUUCUCUUUCCCUCACCUCCUGCUUCUGAUUGCUAUCGAUUCCUUUCUCCAUCAUGCAUCAGAGCCAGUACCCAAUAGGACUGAUUCGAUGUGGAAUCUGAGCAGGCGUGCUUCAAGUACUCCCCUAUAUAUGUCCCUUACUCUGGUCCCUCUCUCCCACCUUUGCCCCAGAUUUGUACUUACAGGAGCUCAUAGGCCAUUCUGCAAGCUGGCUUUGCUCCCUCACCCCUUUAUCGAAGGCACUACUGCCACACUGUUGGUUUCAAACGAUGCUUGGAAGCCAGUUCGCUGGAGUGUGCAGUAAGUUGAAUUGCUGCUGCUUCCUGCAGUUCGUGUGAUAGAUCGUACCAUAAAAUGGAUGUGAUGUGGUUAUUAGGCUGUGAUUCGCUUCAUACUGAGCUGUAUUGAUUGGUGUUGGUUCAGGGCUUGCCUCACAUUUUAUCAAUUGACCUUCCAGAUAGUAUCCUGCCUUUGAUUCUUUUACCUCUAAUUCUACUUUAUCUCCAGUUUUGUGGCUCCUAAUUUACUUUUGGUUGAUUUCUGCUGGUAUUUCUUUUAGUUUUCGAUUACCCAGAAAGACUUUUCUAAUGAAACCAUAUUUUCCCCUCACCACGCUUACUUACCU